UGGAACAUCGGUUCCAGUGCGAUCACCGAAGUUAAGCAACGUCGAGUCUUGCCAGUACCGAGAUGGGGGACCAUUUGGGAAUAUCACAUAUUGUAGG